CAAACACAAACUAAAAUACAAAAGGAAACAUCACCGACGUGAAAUUUCUUGGGAUUCUUGAGUUUUCUCUAAGAUAAAAAAUAGAAAGCACGUGAUUUGAGUCAAAGAGAGUGGUUUGCUUUCACAUCACUCUCAGUCACUCUUUCUAUUUUUCAUCUUCCUUGGUGAACUCUCCAAGACGCCAUCUUCUUCCUCUUUCUCCCCAUUUGGAAAGCAAUGUCUCGACCGGAGGAGGGUGUUCGACCAAGAGGCGCAAGAUGAACGACGAUAGACAGGUUCUUCCGAUUCUUGAGCACUCACCUUCUGUCAUCAUCACCAACCCCUACGGUGCUGCCGUUACCGACUUACCAGCGCCGCAUUGGGCUUCUUCUUCGGCGUGUCUGAACGAGAUUAUGAGCACCAGCGUGGCGAAGUAGUUUGGAAGUCCUAACCGUAGCUACUCGAAUGCGUCGUCUGAGAGCACAAUGAUGGGGACGACGCCGGUGGGAUUCUGGGGACUCUGAACGAGUGACGCUCUUUGGAACCUCAAGAACCUGGUUGUUACAUUCUCCUCCUCCUCUGAGAUCUCAACUGGCGCCACCUCAUUGAUUCCGCACAGAAGAAGAAUGGGUGGAAUAAGUUUUCUUUUGUCUUUAUAAUUGUUUCUCAGUCAGUUCUAGGGAGGUGAGGUUGUAUUUUUAUUAUUAUAUGCUUCAAAUUGUUGAAAAUAUAAUGUGAAUUCUAUUCUUCUGAAGCUAUGAUGGGAUGUUAGUUUGAAUGAUGUUAUUUGUGAUCUCAUCUCAUUCUUUUAUACAUGAUUCUGAUGUCAGUCAAUGUUGUUGCUUCCUCAUUUUAUUUUAUCAUUUUCAAAGUUAUGAUGGGAUGUUAGUUUUUGAAUUUUUCUUCAAAAACAAAAAAUGGAUUGGAUGCGAUUAGGUGGGGAAAGUGAUUCUCUUCCCUGUUUUUCAGUGUACUCUCACACGAAAAAUCAGAUUUUGGUGGUUUGGUGGGAGAAAUGACAUCAUCUUCUCUAACAAAUAAAUGUGAGAAGAAGAGGAAUAUGAAGAUUUGUGUGAUUGGCAAGUAAAGGAAAGAUGAACGGAAGAGGCAGACAGAGAUCUGGUGUGCCCAGGAGCAACACCAUCAGAGCACUUCUAAUAGAAUGAGUUUUUCUAACUUCUUGCUGCUCCCAUUCAGUGGUUCCGAUAAAAUGUCCGGAUCAGGACUCUACUAUUUAUCAGCUCGCUUUUCAUGUUGGACUCAAAGGGCAUUAUAGUGGGGUAUGCUCAUUAUUUGGUAGAACAAUAUUUAUUGUUUUGAAAGCCAAAUAUUUUCUUGUGUUUACUUUGUUAAAAAUGCACAGAGCAAUGAAGAGAAGUAUUUUAUUCACAAUCAUUUGGCAUUUACUGUCAAGUAUCAUAGAGAUUUGCUAAUUGAAUCUGCUAGAAUUGUGAGCUUUCAGGUGAAGCCAUUCAGGUUAGUAUUUUUGUGAUUUCUCUGCAUUAUAGAUGUAUUUCAUUUAUUUUGUUGUGAUAUGUAUAUAAUACUCAUACUGAGUUUCUGAAUAUGAAUGUUGAAAUGUAGUAUAUGGAGAUGAAUCAUCAUGUUUUCUAGGUUUUUUUUUAUUUUGUUUCAAAUAAAUAUAAAUUUACUAUAUUUUUAAUUGUGAUAUGUAAGUAUAUAAAGAUGAUGAAUCAUCAUCAUGAUUUUUAGGGAUUCUUUGAUUUUGUUUCAAAAAAUAUAAAUUUAUUAUUUUUUUAAUUGUGAUCUAUUAGUAUAUGAAGAUGAUGAAUCAUUAUCGUGUUUUGUAGAAUUUCUUUGAUUUUGUUUUCUUUUGCUUCUUAUGUUGAACUAUAAGUUUCGUGUUGAUUUCGAGACCAUUUGCAUUGAUUUGUGUUAGCUUAGAUAUUUUUUUCGGUUUGCUACAGAUUUUGAGAUUUCUACCGUUGUAACAAUUUUCUCUUCUGUCUCCUUUUGUAAUUUUUGGUGCAGUAUACACUAGCAAUUGAUAUAUGGAGUAUCGAUUGCAUGUUUAUCGAAGUGCUCUUAGGAAAGCCAUUUUUUCUGGAAAGAAUGUUGUUCACCAGUUGGAUCUGAUGACAAAACCAUCUGUAUGACUAUAUUGCACUAUAUCUUAGUACAAUUCUAAACCAAAGCUUACUGGCUUGCAUCAAAAUUUGAGUUGGAUGCAGGUACGCAAUGAGAAAACACAAAGAUACCUUAUUAGCAUGAGGAAAAAGUAGCCUGUGUCAUUUGCACGUAAGUUUACUAAUGCAGACUCUUUAGCACUAUGAUUACUAGAGAUUGCUAGCUUUUGAUCCGAAAGACUGACCUAUUGUUGCAAAGGCAUUGGCUGAUCUUUACGUCAAGGGACUGGCUAAAGUUGAGAGAGAACCGUCUUAGCUAUUGCGAGUUCCCUUUUAUCCACCGGAAUCAAGGCAUGGUUGGCUUCAACAAUCCCCAAAUCACUCUCUCGAGCUCACAUCCUUCUUUUACUCAAUGGGUUGAAGGAGAAUGAAGCUGCAACAAUCCCAAAAUGGAGGAUUGAGCAUUUGAGCGGCAACUUGCAGAAUUUUGUGGAACUAUGUGACUGGGUUGGAUUUCAUAAGCGCAAUAAAAAAAGGAGAAAGAAAGCACAUAAAUAGCAAGAUUAUGAGAGAAUGUUCUAUUUGCAUCCCAACGAAAAAGAAAAUGAAGAUUCUAUGAACAAGGUAUUGAGUGCUUGGGUAUUAUGUCUGAAUUAUUUAUUUAUUUAUUUUUAAACGAACUGUAUGUUAAUUUGUUAACUGAAAGUAUAUAAUAAGAAAUUCCAUAACUCAUCAAUAGUAAUCAUUAUUCUAUAACUCAUAGUAAUAGCAAGUAUUAUUUA